CCUACGGGGGGCAGCAGUGGGGAAUAUUGGACAAUGGGGGCAACCCUGAUCCAGCCAUGCCGCGUGUGUGAAGAAGGCCCUCGGGUUGUAAAGCACUUUCAGUGAGGAAGAACGCCUGGUGGUUAAUACCCAUCAGGAAAGACAUCACUCACAGAAGAAGCACCGGCUAACUCCGUGCCAGCAGCCGCGGUAAUACGGAGGGUGCGAGCGUUAAUCGGAAUUACUGGGCGUAAAGCGCGCGUAGGUGGCUUGAUAAGCCGGUUGUGAAAGCCCCGGGCUCAACCUGGGAACGGCAUCCGGAACUGUCGAGCUAGAGUGCAGGAGAGGAAGGUAGAAUUCCCGGUGUAGCGGUGAAAUGCGUAGAGAUCGGGAGGAAUACCAGUGGCGAAGGCGGCCUUCUGGACUGACACUGACACUGAGGUGCGAAAGCGUGGGUAGCAAACAGGAUUAGAUACCCCUGUAGUC
rnacentral:rRNA from 1 species